rnacentral:misc_RNA from 1 species
UAAUAAGACCUAAAGCGUAUCUGUUUACUUUUUGCUGAUGACCAAUAGAAACUGUGUAUGUCUAAAAAUUGUGUUGAUGAAUGCUGUGGAUUAAAGUAUGAAAGGCUUCAGCAUGAUAAGCGAAGUCUUUGUCUUGCUGAUUGCAGUACUAGGAUGCAAUGCCCGACCAGAGGGAGCCCCAAGUACAGCUUGUUCCUCGUUAGUUCCUAGGCAUAGUGGAAUCGAACCUCAACGUUCACCUUCCCCAUACACAGUUACAGCAGUUAAAAGUGGAAAUAAAGUGCGAGCUUUUUUAGUAACAAUAUCUUCCCAGUAUGGAGAAGAAAUCGAAGGAUUCGCCCUACAAGCCCGUUCCAAACGAGACAGAAGUCGUUUAGUGGAUGGAAAAUUCUCUGUUCGAGAUGGAAUAUCUAAAACUAUAGAUUGCUUACGAGGAAAACAGAAUACAUUAACUCAAGUCAACCCCAGUUCAAAAAGAGAAAUAAUUACGGAGUGGACGCCAAAUGAAAAUGAGGAGGAAGUGGUUUUUAGAGCAACCGUGGCGAAAAGUUUUGCUGUGUUUUGGACUGAAGUGGACUCACCACCAGUGAGAUUGUCUAACAUGUUUUCUACCAGCCAACCAUCUAAGACAGAAAACUUAGAUUCCCAGUCUAUGUAUUCCAGCUGUUUUGCUACAAAAGGCUGUUUUGGCUAUCCAUCUGGAUGCAUCCCAAGAACGGACUGUGAAAUUCUUCUUUCCUAUGUUAACAGAGAUGAUGGGAUAUACUUUCAAAUGCACGGAUACUUGGAACCGAAUACGUAUAUGGCCAUGGGAAUAUCCACAGACUCUCUGAUGGGAGACGAUACAGUCACUGAAUGUUUCAGACAAGGUUCUAUGGUCCAUGCCCGUGAGUCUUGGAAUAAUGGAGGUCAAAAAUCAAAUGGCCACACUAGAGAGCUUCCAAGGAGUAGUUACGAUGGAGAAUAUAGAAAUGGUUUGACUACUUGUUCAUGGACUGAGCGAUACAUUAAAGAUGCUUACGAUAGAAGUUUCAAUUUGGCUAAUUCUACUUACUACCUUUUGCUGGCAAAAGGCCCCAUCACAAAUGGAAGAAUUGGGUAUCAUGAUGGUAGAAUAGCAUCACAGGAGCCAGUCAACUUUAAAGCAUUUGAUGCGAUUAUGGGGGAAGGAGUCAGUGAUUCAAUCAAAAUUCACGGAACUUUUAUGGUCACUGCUUGGGUUGGAUUUGUCAGUAUUGGUAUUCUUCUCGCUCGACAUUUCAAGUCUUCAUGGGAUACUAAAACAAUGUGUGGAGUUAAAGUAUGGUUUGCAUUGCACAGAAGCAUGAUGAUUACUGGGUUGAUUUUUGUUGUCAUUGCUUUCAUCGUAAUAUUUGUUCACAAAGAUGGAUGGAACUACGCAACUAAAAACCCUCACGCCAUCUUAGGUUGCAUUGCCACAGGUUUAGGUCUAUUACAGCCAAUCAUGGCAGCUUUCCGUCCAUCACCUGAAGAUUCAAAGCGUCCCCUUUUCAACUUGUUUCAUUGGCUUGUGGGAAACACAGCUCAUCUAAUUGCAAUUAUCACCAUAUUUUUCGCUGUGUCAUUAGAAUCCUCAGGUCUAAAGGAAAGCUUUUACUGGGUCAUGGCUAUUUUUGUGGUCCUACAUCUACUUUUCCACUUUUUAUUCCAAAUGAUAGCUUGGUCUGCAAGCAAGAAAAAAAAAAUGAAAUGAAGAUGAUGGAAAUGAGUUCAAGAACUGGAAAUAACACGCCAAGUAAUGAUCCAGAAAAGAAUCAAAAACAUGACGCCUUUCGAGUAUUGCUGUUUUGUGUUUACAGUAUAUUUCUGGUCAUAGUUCUUCUCGUAUUGUACUCAUUGAUUGGAAUUGCGUGAUGUAUUCAUUAAUUUGUAGAAACUGCACUGUAGUUGUCUGUGCUUUUUCUUUAUUGCAACCAAACCUUGAAGGAUUCAAAAAGUGUUUAAUAUAAUGUUUGUAUAUUAGUUUUAAGGCAUUUUUCAUGCUUAUGCAUGGCGUAACUUGAAUUAACUGCAGUUAAAUUUCCUUUUUGAGAAAUAAAUAAAGCAGUAUAAAAUUC